UACGAAGGGGGCUAGCGUUGCUCGGAAUUACUGGGCGUAAAGGGCGCGUAGGCGGAUAUUUAAGUUGGGGGUGAAAUCCCGGGGCUCAACCUCGGAAUUGCCUUCAAAACUGGAUAUCUUGAGUUCGGGAGAGGUGAGUGGAACUCCGAGUGUAGAGGUGAAAUUCGUAGAUAUUCGGAAGAACACCAGUGGCGAAGGCGACUCACUGGACACAUAUUGACGCUGAGGUGCGAAAGCGUGGGGAGCAAACAGG
rnacentral:rRNA from 1 species